AAAUUCCUGCUAUGUGCGUGUUAUAUCGCAGUUUUGAGCCAACAUUUUAACUUAGGGAUUCUCACUCUUGUAAGGGCGCUCUGCCUCUACGAGGACUGUAAUCUUACAAGGAGGAAACCCACCUGCCCUUGCAGGAUCAAAACACGGUAUGGAUACGGCAUAGUGGGGCCUUU
rfam:Veillonella sp. oral taxon 780 str. F0422 ctg1127947897868, whole genome shotgun sequence.